AGGAAUCUCCAGCUGGCAAACAAUCAAAAAGUGAAGAAGACAGAUACCAGUGAUGGCCGACUGCUAUGAAACUUGCUGCGUACAACAUAAUGGCGAUACCUCCCUCGGAGACAACACCCUUAUGAUAAAGGAUGUGUACAUCCCCGAGGGAAGA